AUUGAACGCUGGCGGCAUGCCUUACACAUGCAAGUCGAACGGCAGCGCGAGAGCAAUCCUGGCGGCGAGUGGCGAACGGGUGAGUAAUACAUCGGAACGUGCCCAAUCGUGGGGGAUAACGCUGCGAAAGCUGUGCUAAUACCGCAUACGAUCUACGGAUGAAAGCAGGGGACCGCAAGGCCUUGCGCGAAUGGAGCGGCCGAUGGCAGAUUAGGUAGUUGGUGGGGUAAAGGCUCACCAAGCCAACGAUCUGUAGCUGGCCUGAGAGGACGACCAGACACACUGGGACUGAGACACGGCCCAGACUCCUACGGGAGGCAGCAGUGGGGAAUUUUGGACAAUGGGCGCAAGCCCGAUCCAGCCAUGCCGCGUGCAGGAUGAAGGCCUUCGGGUUGUAAACUGCUUUUGUACGGAACGAAAAGUCUCUUUCUAAUAAAGAGGGAUCAUGACGGUACCGUAAGAAUAAGCACCGGCUAACUACGUGCCAGCCGCCGCGGUAACAC
rnacentral:rRNA from 1 species